ACAUUUCUUUUAGAAUAAUUAAAAAGUAAAGUCUGCCCACUGUUUUUUAUAAAGGGCCGCGGUAUUUUGACCGUGCAAAGGUACCAUAAUCAUAAGUCUUUUAAUUGUGGAAUGGAAUGAAUGGCUAAAUGAAUUUUAUCUUUAAUAAUAUUAUUUAAAGAAUUUUGAUUUAAAGUGAAAAUACUUAAUUGAUUUAAAAAGACGAUAAGACCCUAUAGAAUUUUAAUCUUCUUUUUAUAAAAAUAUAAAAUUUAGAUUUUGUUGGGGCAGUAUAAGAAGAUAUAAAUUUUCUUUAUUUAAUAUUUUAAUGGAUCUAAAGUUAAAAGUUUUUAAGGAAUUACCUUCGGGAUUACAGCGUUAUAUUUUUUGAGAGUUCAUAUCGACAAAAUAUGUUGCGACCUCGAUGUUGAAUUAUAAUACCUAUUUGGAGCAGGCUUUAAAUAAGGGAGUCUGUUCGACUUUUAAUUUUUUACAUGAUUUGAGU
rnacentral:rRNA from 1 species